UAAGUGGUGCUUUUCAGCACCACUUUUUUGUAUCUAAAUAAGGCAA
rfam:Eubacterium sp. CAG:581 genomic scaffold, scf120